GACGAACGCUGGCGGCGUGCUUAACACAUGCAAGUCGAACGGAAAGGCCCUGCCUUUGUGGGGUGCGCGAGUGGCGAACGGGUGAGUAACACGUGGGUAAACUGCCCUUGACUUUGGGAUAACUUCAGGAAACUGGGGCUAAUCCCGGAUAGGAGCUCGUGCUGCAUGGUGGGGGUUGGAAAGUUUCGGCGGUUGGGGAUGGACUCGCGGCUUAUCAGCUUGUUGGUGGGGUAGUGGCUUACCAAGGCUUUGACGGGUCGCCGGCCUGAGAGGGUGACCGGCCACAUUGCGACUGAGAUACGGCCCAGACUCCUACGGGAGGCAGCAGUGGGGAAUAUUGCACAAUGGUCGGAAGCCUGAUGCAGCAACGCCGCGUGCGGGAUGACGGCCUUCGGGUUGUAAACCGCUUGCGCCUGUGACGAAGCGUGAGUGACGGUAAUGGGUAAAGAAGCACCGGCUAACUACGUG
rnacentral:rRNA from 1 species